rnacentral:sRNA from 1 species
GCCGGGCGCGGUGGCGCUCGCCCCUAAGCCCAGGGGCUCUGGAGGCUGAGGCAGGAGGAUCGGGAGCUCAAAGCCAGCCUCAGCAACAGCGAGGUGCUAAGCAACUCAGUGAGACCCUGUCUCUA